rnacentral:rRNA from 1 species
UCCGUAGGUGAACCUGCGGAGGGAUCAUUACAGAGUUCAUGCCCUUACGGGUAGAUCUCCCACCCUAUGUUAUUAUUACUUUGUUGCUUUGGCGGGCCGUCAGGCUCACGCCCGGCUACCGGCCCCGGCUGGUAAGCGCCCGCCAGAGGACCCAAAACCCUGAUUAUUAGUGUCGUCUGAGUACUAUAUAAUAGUUAAAACUUUCAACAACGGAUCUCUUGGUUCUGGCAUCGAUGAAGAACGCAGCGAAAUGCGAUAAGUAAUGUGAAUUGCAGAAUUCAGUGAAUCAUCGAAUCUUUGAACGCACAUUGCGCCCCUUGGUAUUCCGAGGGGCAUGCCUGUUCGAGCGUCAUUACAACCCUCAAGCCUGGCUUGGUAUUGGGCUUCGCCACUCACCUGGCGGGCCUUAAAAUCAGUGGCGGUGCCGUCGAGGCCCUGAGCGCAGUAAAUAUCCUCGCUAUAGGGACCCGGCGGUUGCUGGCCAUCAACCCCCAACUUUCUAAGUUGACCUCGGAUCAGGUAGAGCCCGCUCUG